ensembl:snRNA U2 U2 spliceosomal RNA
AUCUUUUCUUGGCCUUUUGGCUAAGAUCAAGUGUAGUAUUUUCCUUAAAAUAUUCACUCUCCUAUUAAAUCCUUU